UACGUAGGGUGCAAGCGUUAUCCGGAUUCACUGGGUUUAAAGGGUGCGUAGGCGGGUAUAUAAGUCAGUGGUGAAAGCUCCGAGCUUAACUUGGAAACUGCCAUUGAUACUGUAUAACUUGAAUGUCGUUGAGGUUAGCGGAAUGUUGCAUGUAGCGGUGAAAUGCUUAGAUAUGUUACAGAACACCAAUUGUGAAGACAGCUAACUAAGCGAUGAUUGACGCUGAGGCACGAAAGCGUGGGGAGCAAACAGG
rnacentral:rRNA from 1 species